GAUGAACGCUGGCGGCGUGCUUAACACAUGCAAGUCGAACGGUGAAGGCGGAGCUUGCUCUGCUGGAUCAGUGGCGAACGGGUGAGUAACACGUGAGCAAUCUGCCCCUGACUCUGGGAUAAGCGCUGGAAACGGCGUCUAAUACUGGAUACGAGCUGCGAAGGCUUCUUCAGCAGCUGGAAAGAACUUCGGUCAGGGAUGAGCUCGCGGCCUAUCAGCUUGUUGGUGAGGUAACGGCUCACCAAGGCGUCGACGGGUAGCCGGCCUGAGAGGGUGACCGGCCACACUGGGACUGAGACACGGCCCAGACUCCUACGGGAGGCAGCAGUGGGGAAUAUUGCACAAUGGGCGAAAGCCUGAUGCAGCAACGCCGCGUGAGGGACGACGGCCUUCGGGUUGUAAACCUCUUUUAGCAGGGAAGAAGCGAAAGUGACGGUACCUGCAGAAAAAGCGCCGGCUAACUACGUG
rnacentral:rRNA from 1 species